rnacentral:lncRNA from 1 species
GAAAUUUAAGUCUCUAAAGACAGUUCAGUAUACACAUGUCUGUUUGGUUUGUUUGAUAAUAUAUGGGCAUGGUCUGUUCCCACAUUUUGAAGGUGAGCUCACACAAUGUUUGAAACAUCCUUGAUUCCGAGAAAAAAAAUGCAGGGAUGACACAUCCGUUUCAAGAGAAAAAAAUGUGAGCAAUUAUGAUUCCUGAUCUCACUGAGUUCGUGCAAGCUGUACAGAGAAACUCCACAUAAAACUUGUAGUCGAGUAGUUGUAGUGCAACCUUCAUUGUUUGGCCGACGGCUAUAAUAUUAUUAUGAAAGACAAUGAUCACCCUACAAAAUUAUCUUUCCUGAUUAUUUGUCACAGUACUAUAGCUAAUCAUCCUAAAAGUUCUUUUCAAAAUUCAGGUUGACUCUCAAACAUCCACAAUGAAAACUCAGGUUGACAUUGAAACUUGUACUCAAUUUUCUUGCUUACAGCAGCAAGCAUCAGGGGCAUCAUGAGAUUCAAUAAGAACAGCUUUGGCUUCGACCUAUUUGAUCAAACAGAGUAAAUCAUGUCACUACCAGGAUCAGACUUCAUGAGUUUAUAAUGGCAUCCCACACUGUACUUUUCUGAAUCAUGUGUAUGCAAGGAAUCUCUUAAAUGCUCUCCCUCCGAUCCAAAAUAAGUGUCGUGGUUUUUGAACUAAAACAACGACACUUAAUUUUGAUCGGAAGGAGUAUAAUACACAGGUCCAGAAUAGGCUGAUGCCACAUUACUCACCCUCACUGCACACUGGACACCGGCUCAUGUCUGAGUUAUCCCAUGAUCUCAUAGGUAUGCAACAGUCUAGGCAGAAAAUAUAGUUUGAAUUGGAUGUCAGGGUGAUGUAAAAAAUGCAGACCGUUUUUGUAUGUCUACAAAAAUAUGUUCAAUUCAUUUUUUUACUGAAACCUUGACUGAGCAAAGUGAAACAACAUCAUAUAAUGUGGUAGCCAAAUCUACACAAGAUGUAGCCUGCAGAUAUGGUACCAUGAACUGCACAAACAAAACAGACUGAACGGUUCAAAAAUUGCAUCAAAACUGUUUCACAAUUAACAUAUUCAGCAAAGGCUAAACAUCCUUGACUUACAAACCAAAAAAUGGAACAAAAAUGCUGUGUUGCCUACACCUUUAUCAACUAAACUGCUUACUCAUUUGUUCACCACAUAGAAGCAGGUAAUAAUCUCCUACAAGAGUACACCUUUAUCAACUAUCUCCUACUCAUACAUCAAGCUUUCAAAGUAUAUCUAAUUUUCAGGUCUGGACAGAUUCAACCAACUGAGAGCAUAUCACCCUUUUUGGUUCAAAUUAAAUGGCCCAAUCUUCCAUCACAUUUACAUCGGGCUUAGAGUUUAGAACAGACUUACAGUUGGAUAAUGCAAUACAACGAUACCUGUAGAAUAAUAGUGCAAUACCUGUAGUUAAAUCCAUCAGUUUUGGCACAUUCGUAGAAACACGUUUCUCUGCUGCUCUGCAAUCAUUUGUUAACACACAUUUUGUCAGUAUGAGCAACCAACAUCAGCUAAAAGGAACCAUACAAAUGAAGGUACCACAACUCUCUAAUGUAAACAGUUCAUAGCAGAAUACGCACAGCGCCAUGAGCAGAUGUUGAAAGCGCAAGAUCUUAUACAGAAGGUUUUAACCGUGUAAUGUUGAAAAGAAUAAGAUAUUAACAGUAUGUUGUAGAAAGAACAAUAUGCCGCAGAAUAAUGCCGUAAACUUAAAUACUAAACUUUUAAAAAAAUCAUUAGAAAGAACAGCACGCCGUAGAAAAAUAAUGCAAUACAUAUAAACAACCUAGCCACUCCAACUUAAAAAGAAUCAAGUUCCAACUGCACAACUCAUAUGACCAUUACAGAACCACUUUUCAGUACCACCAUUCUGGCCUUACCGUUACAUGGCAACCAAACUAAUCCUCAUUUAUUUUAGAAGAAACCAACUAUUCUACUGAUCCUUCGUAGGCACAACUCAAUUAACCGGUUGAUUAGCCAAGCAUUUUGUGCCUGAUGCAAUCUUCAAGUAUAUACUGUAACCAACUUAUUUGUUGAUACUAAGAGAUGUAAAAAGAAGCUAGAGUAGCCAAGGUUUAGAUGUUGUACUAGUCAGCAAAUCUGCACUGCUCUGCUUGGAAGAGCGUCAGAUGGAUCCAGCCAUCAUUGGCCAGAGACGCGCCAAAGUAGAACCUUACACAUUACAACCCUUUUUCAUCUCCUCUCACCUCCUCGGAUAUCAAAAAUAUUGCGUAUUUAAAUUUCUUCUUUAGCAAUGUAAAGCAUAAGGAAAGCUCGAUGAGAAUUUAAUAACUUCCCAGAAAUAAAUAAGUGACAACUAAACGAGGCACAUAGCCAAGGCAAAGACUUCAUGAUUUGUAUGCCUUCUUUUCACUAACGGUGAUGCUUACUUUAGUGUAGCCCGAGUGAAAAAGAAAAUAAACUUGUGCCUUAUCGAUCAAAAUGUCACUACCUAGACUAAUGGUCCAAACAAAAUCACCUCUAUGGACAAAAGAACCAAUGGAUAAUUGGCUGUAAUGUGUAUGAUGAAUCAUGCAUAUCUGGCUCUAUAUUAGCAUGUCAGGGAAAAAAUCAAGAGAUUAAGCCAAUAUAUCAGGGGACAAGAUGCAUCUUUCACAUCUCAGAUAAAAAACAUCACCAGUAAAAUGUUUGUCGUUGGUUCAGUUUUCCUGACUUACCCAAGUGCUUGUAUAGUUGAAAAAUAUAUCAUACCUGAAUACAAUGAAACAGCAAGAAGCAAACAGUAAGAAACUUGAAAUGGUGUAGCAAGUACUACAGCAAACCGAAUAGGAACAGACCAAAUAUAAACAAAGUGCCAUGCCCUUUUCCUUAUGGUGGUGUUCCUUAGUGUAACAUACAAACCAACCACGUCACCUAUUUUUGUGCUACAUAUAGACUGAAACCAAGCAAGAUAAUGUAACCUGACAAGAAGUAUAGUAUAGCCGAUUUAGAAAUUGAGAACUGGCCAUUCCAAACAAAAACAACAUUGCUGAUGCUGCAAAAAUGGAUAAUCCAGCUCCAAAUAGUGAUGCCUCCAUCAAUCAAAUCCCUAGGAACUUUC